GGAAGGAUCAUUACUGAGUUAGGGUCUCUCCAGGCCCGACCUCCCAACCCUUGUGUCUAUCUAACCUAUCGUUGCUUCGGUGGGACGGAUCUGUCCUCUGGGGACGGACCCGCCGGAAGGGUGAACAACCACCCUUUGGGAGAGCUUCCCACCGAUGGCCCACAACAAACUCUUGUACCAAAAAACCUGUCGUCUAAAGUAUUGAUAAUUCAAUCAAAAACAAAACUUUCAACAACGGAUCUCUUGGUUCUGGCAUCGAUGAAGAACGCAGCGAAAUGCGAUAAGUAAUGCGAAUUGCAGAAUUUCCGUGAGUCAUCGAAUCUUUGAACGCACAUUGCGCCCUUUGGUAUUCCGAAGGGCAUGCCUGUUCGAGCGUCAUUAUCACAGCUCAAACCCCUGGGUUUGGUGUUGGACCGCAUGUUGGGUCGACCAACUGGUCUCAAAGACAAUGACGGCGUCCGUGGGACCCUCAGUGCAACGAGCUUUUACAAGCACGCAUUGAGUUGCAAGGACCCUCCGGGCCGGUCUACUAUUACAUUUUUCUGAAAGUUGACCUCGGAUCAGGUAGGAAUACCCGCUGAACUUAAGCAUAUCAAUAAGCGGAGGAAAAGAAACCAACAGGGAUUGCCUUAGUAACGGCGAGUGAAGCGGCAACAGCUCAAAUUUGAAAUCUGGCCUUAUGGUCCGAGUUGUAAUUUGUAGAGGAUGUUUUGGGCACCGCCACGGUUUAAAUUUCUUGGAACAGAAUGUCAAAGAGGGUGAGAGUCCCGUCUUGGAUCGUGGUAGGGCCUAUGUAAAACUCCUUCGACGAGUCGACUUGUUUGGGAAUGCAGGUCAAAAUGGGUGGUAAAUUUCAUCUAAAGCUAAAUAUUGGCCAGAGACCGAUAGCGCACAAGUAGAGUGAUCGAAAGAUGAAAAGCACUUUGAAAAGAGAGUUAAACAGUAUGUGAAAUUGUUGAAAGGGAAGCGCUGGCAACCAGACUCGAGCACGGUGUUCCCCCUGGCUUUUGUCAGGGUUAUUUCACCGCGUCCGGGCCAUCAUCAGUUUGGAGGGUCGGUUAAAGGCUUGGGGAAUGUAUUCACGCCUUCGGGGGUGGACUUAUAGCCCCAGGUGUCAUGCGACCUCUCCGGACUGAGGAACGCGCUUCGGCGAGGAUGAUGGCGUAAUGGUUGUCAGCGACCCGUCUUGAAACACGGACCAAGGAGUCUAACAUCUAUGCGAGUGUUCGGGUGUCAAACCCUUGCGCGGAAUGAAAGUGAACGGAGGUAGGAAGGCUUAAGCCUGCACUAUCGACCGAUCCUGAUGUCUUCGGAUGGAUUUGAGUAAGAGCAUAGCUGUUGGGACCCGAAAGAUGGUGAACUAUGCGUGAAUAGGGUGAAGCCAGAGGAAACUCUGGUGGAGGCUCGCAGCGGUUCUGACGUGCAAAUCGAUCGUCAAAUUUGCGUAUAGGGGCGAAAGACUAAUCGAACCAUCUGGUAGCUGGUUCCUGC
rnacentral:misc_RNA from 1 species